AGCAGAAGUCGACCGUGGAGCGCCGGGAGAGACGCGUCGCCUCCAAGAGGACCCGGGAGAAGCAGCAGGUGGAGGCACCAGCCGUGGAUGUGUCCUCCAAGCCAGCGCCUUGCAGUCCUAGGAGAGUGGUGGUGGAGCCUGGUGCGUCUGACCCUGCCCAGCCCCAGGAGUCCACCUUCCAGGAACAUCCCAGCCAGGAUCCUGCCGUCGGUCCGAGCCAUCGCACUCAAUCCGUGAGGGCGUCGCAUUCUCA